AUUGAACGCUGGCGGCAGGCCUAACACACGCAAGUCGAACGGUAACAGAAAGCAGCUUGCUGCUUUGCUGACGAGUGGCGGACGGGUGAGUAAUGUCUGGGAAACUGCCUGAUGGAGGGGGAUAACUACUGGAAACGGUAGCUAAUACCGCAUAACGUCGCAAAACCAAAGAGGGGGACCUUCGGGCCUCUUGCCAUCGGAUGUGCCCAGAUGGGAUUAGCUUGUUGGUGGGGUAACGGCUCACCAAGGCGACGAUCCCUAGCUGGUCUGAGAGGAUGACCAGCCACACUGGAACUGAGACACGGUCCAGACUCCUACGGGAGGCAGCAGUGGGGAAUAUUGCACAAUGGGCGCAAGCCUGAUGCAGCCAUGCCGCGUGUAUGAAGAAGGCCUUCGGGUUGUAAAGUACUUUCAGCGGGGAGGAAGGGAGUAAAGUUAAUACCUUUGCUCAUUGACGUUACCCGCAGAAGAAGCACCGGCUAACUCCGUG
rnacentral:rRNA from 1 species